AAUGAACGCUGGCGGCGUGCCUAAUACAUGCAAGUCGAGCGAACGGACGAGACGCUUUCCUCUCUGCUGUUAGCGGCGGGCGGGUGAGUAAUACGUGGAUACCCUACCUAUAAGGAUGGGAUAACUUCGGGAAACCGUAUCUAGUACCGGACAAGAUUUUGAAACGCAUGGUUCAAAAGUGAAAGACGGUCUUGCUGUCACUUAGACGUAUAUCCAGGCUGCAUUAGCUAGUUGGUAAGGUAACGGCUUACCAAGGCUACGAUGCAUAGACGACCUGAGAGGAUGAUCAGCCACACUGGAACUGAGACACGGUCCAGACUCCUACGGGAGGCAGCAGUAGGGAAUAUUCCGCAAUGGGCGAAAGCCUGACGGAGCAACGCCGCGUGAGUGAUGAAGGUCUUCGGAUCGUAAAACUCUGUUAGUAGGGAAGAACAGAUGUGUAAGUAACUCUGCACAUCUUGACGGUACCUAAUCAGAAAGCCACGGCUAACUUCGUG
rnacentral:rRNA from 1 species